rnacentral:rRNA from 1 species
AAGUCGUAACAAGGUUUCCGUAGGUGAACCUGCGGAAGGAUCAUUAUUGAAUAAAACUUGAGCAGGCUGUCUGCUGGCCCCCUUCCUGGGGGUAUGUGCACGCUUGUUCUUUGUUAUUUCUCCAACUUGUGCACAUUUUGUAGACCCUGGAGCUUUGUGGAUUUAACAUUCCGAGUCGGGACUGCUGUGCUUCCUCUUUGUGAAGUCGGCUUUGCCUUGCAUCUCCAGGUCUAUGUCAUUUAUUUUUAUCACAACCAUGUUUAGAAUGUUGGGAUCAGGUCUUUUUGUACCUAUAGAAAUGAAAUAUACAACUUUCAGCAACGGAUCUCUUGGCUCUCGCAUCGAUGAAGAACGCAGCGAAAUGCGAUAAGUAAUGUGAAUUGCGGAAUUCAGUGAAUCAUCGAAUCUUUGAACGCAUCUUGCGCUCCUUGGUAUUCCGAGGAGCAUGCCUGUUUGAGUGUCAUUCAACUCCUCAACCACAUUUGUUCAUCGAUUGUGGCUUGGAUGAUGGGGGUUUUGUUUGCAGGCUUCCUCUGUGAAAACAGAAAGGUCGGCUCCCCUGAAAUGUAUCAGUGGUAUCUGAGGCUAUUGCUAUAGGUGUGAUAAUUAUCUAUGCCCUUGGUAUGCCACAUGGAACUGCUUCCAACAGAGAUGAUCUUUUUGAUGAAUUUGACCUCAAAUCAGGUAGGACUACCCGCUGAACUUAAGCAUAUCAAUAAGCGGAGGAAAAGAAACUAACAAGGAUUCCCCUAGUAACUGCGAGUGAAGCGGGAAAAGCUCAAAUUUGAAAUCUGGCGGUUCCUUGGACCGUCCGAGUUGUAAUCUAGAGAAGUGUUACCUGUGCUGGACCGUGUACAAGUCUCCUGGAAUGGAGCAUCACAGAGGGUGAGAAUCCCGUCUUUGACACGGACUGCCUGUGCGAUAUGGUGUGCUCUCGAAGAGUCGAGUUGUUUGGGAAUGCAGCUCAAAAUGGGCGGUAAAUGCCAUCUAAAGCUAAAUAUUGGCGAGAGACCGAUAGCGAACAAGUACCGUGAGGGAAAGAUGAAAAGAACUUUGGAAAGAGAGUUAAACAGUACGUGAAAUUGCUGAAAGGGAAACGCUUGAAGUCAGUCGCGUUGUCCAGGGAUCAACCUUGCUUUUGCUUGGUGCAUUUUCUGGUUCGACGGGUCAGCAUCAAUUUUGAUCGUUGGAAAAAGGCUAAGGGAAUGUGGCAUCUUUGGAUGUGUUAUAGCCCUUGGUCACAUACAAUGGUUGGGAUUGAGGAACUCAGCACGCCGAAAGGUCGGGUUUUAAACCACGUACGUGCUUAGGAUGCUGGCAAUAUGGCUUUAAUCGACC